GUUCCUGGCUCAGGAUGAACGCUGGCGGCGUGCUUAACACAUGCAAGUCGAGCGAAGCAAUUUAAGUGAAGUUUUCGGAUGGAUCUUAAAUUGACUGAGCGGCGGACGGGUGAGUAACGCGUGGAUAACCUGCCUCACACAGGGGGAUAACAGUUAGAAAUGACUGCUAAUACCGCAUAAGCGCACGGUACCGCAUGGUACAGUGUGAAAAACUCCGGUGGUGUGAGAUGGAUCCGCGU
rnacentral:rRNA from 1 species